GGGGAAACCAGCGGAAUCUUCUGGCCUUUCGGAGCGUGCCCUCCUCCCGCCACGCACCGGAGAAAGCUUCGGCCAAUCAUGAGUACUACUGGGGAUCGUGGGUGCAGGGGAGGCCAUGCUGGGAGUGUAACCCAGGAGCUCAGCAGGGCCUCUCAGAAGUGAGGAGAGACUCCACAGGAGGGACCUACCAGAAUGUAGGUAGCAUCUGCUAGUGGGGGACCAGAUUAAACAGUGUGGAAGAAGGAAGACUACUUGCCCUUGUUAGCCAGGCCUUGCCUCUUGCUGAAGCGUUGGAUGAUGAUGAUGAUGAUGAUGAUGAUGAUGAUGAUGAUGAUGAUAAUGAUGAUGAUGCCUCCACUGAAAACAGAAACGGCCAUUUCAGGCUUCCACCCCAGACCAAGGCCCUUCAAGUCUCCAGGACACUCCAGAUUUUUUGGCGCAGGCUUGGUGACUACCGAGGCAUCUCCAGGACCAGCCAGCUCCCAGAGUCCCAGCCUCAGUGUUGAGACUGUUUCAGAGUAAGCUGAUGUCAUUCAUUCUCUAAUAUAUUUGGUAUAUAAAAUGUUUCAUAUUUUAUAUAGAAAAUCCCAACUUACACAGGACACGUGUGCCCACGUGUGUGUAUGUCCUAUGGAGGUCAGAGGUCAGCCGUGGGCUUGUUCCUUGGAUGGCAACCCUCUAUCUUGUUAUUUUUGGUUUAUUUUGAGCUAGCCUCUCUGAUUGACUGGGAGUUCUCCAAGUAGGCCAGGCUGGCUGGCUAGUGAGCCCCAGGAUCCACCUGCCUCUGCCACCCCGCCCUGGGAAUAAAAGCAUUCACUUUGCCGCCUGUUUUGUUGUUGGUUUGUUGGUUUGUUUUGUUUUGUUUUAAUGUGCAUUCUGGGGACUGAACUCAGGUACUUGGCUUGUGAGGCAAGUGUUUUGCCGACAGCCCUGUCCCUAGGCCCACUCGUUCUGAAUUCCUCGUCCUCCCACAUCCCCCAGACCAUACUCCCUACCUCAUAGGCAGCGACUGUUAUCUACUGAGUGGAUAUUAUGUUCUUGGGUUUUUGGGUUUUUUUUCCUGUGUGAUUUUGAAAAACAAUUCAUUUUUUGCUGUUGUUGUU
ensembl:processed_transcript 1110018N20Rik RIKEN cDNA 1110018N20 gene